ACCCAGGUUUAGAACACGUAGAGUCAAUGCAAUUCAUUAAUUAUAAUUUGUUUAAAAUAAAUAAAUAAAUUACAUUAUAGACAUAAUAAUGAGACUAAAUAAAACUAAAUAAAUAGGUUAGAACAUAAAUCUAAUUAAUUUGAAGCAUCUAAUACGUAAAAGAUUAUUUAAUUUGGGAAAAUAAACAUAACAGGAAUUAUUAUUAAUGAUCCUUAACAAUAAUAAUUAAAAAAAUAAUUAAAACUAUUAUUAAAAGUCAGUGGCGAUUCCAGGAACGCCCACUGCGCAAAAAUCUAGCCAAUAAAGGUAAAUUAGAAGUUCACUGCGCAAAAAUCUAGCCAAUGAUAAGUGUAAGUCUAGCUAGCUAUGGUAGCCAAUCAGCAGCCAAGUGGGAGUGGCCACGGGUUCCCGCACGGCCAGAAGCUCAGUCGGACGUCGGGGUGAAGAUUGGAAGGAUCGCGGUGCGGCAAUCGCGCUAAAAUUGAGCAAAA